rnacentral:misc_RNA from 1 species
UUGAACUAUAAACUUGGUAGACUGUUGCUGGCAUAUUUUUUGCAUGUGCACGUUUAUCAUCUUUUAUCUUUCCACCUGUGAACCUUUUGUAGACUUGAUUUUGGGACUGCCUUGGCAAUGUUCUUGGCUUUUCCUUUUAUUUCAUGAGUCUAUGUUUUUACACACUCAAUAACAACAAUGGAAUAUAUUUUUUGUUGGCUAUAACAAAGAAAAGUGUAA